rnacentral:rRNA from 1 species
UACGAAGGGGGCUAGCGUUGCUCGGAAUCACUGGGCGUAAAGGGUGCGUAGGCGGGUUUUUAAGUCAGGGGUGAAAUCCUGGAGCUCAACUCCAGAACUGCCUUUGAUACUGAAGAUCUUGAGUCCGGGAGAGGUGAGUGGAACUGCGAGUGUAGAGGUGAAAUUCGUAGAUAUUCGCAAGAACACCAGUGGCGAAGGCGGCUCACUGGCCCGGUACUGACGCUGAGGCACGAAAGCGUGGGAGCAAACAGGG